GCCUGACUCUGUUUGGAGCAGAACACAUAAGAGAUGCAAACCUCUGCAUUUCCAGUGUGUCAGAGACCCACCAUGUCCUCAACACUUGCAGGAUUGAAAUGAGACUAAGACUCGAUUCUGCUGCAGAGCUUAUCUGCCGUAUGUUUUAACAUCUCCUGUGAGCUAACAUUGGCAUUCUCCAUGAGAAGAGGCAACAUUAAUAGUGGACAACAGUUUUGGCAUCUCUCCAAUUCAGCUCUCAGUGUUCUCUUGUGACUGCUUCAUAGGUAGCAGUUUUGGCUAC